ensembl:lncRNA
CAUGUGAACUCUGAACUUUUCAUUUUUUCAGUGGUUUUAAACAUGGUAAAAAAGUGCUAAUAGAGUUGUAAGUAGCUGAAAACAUAAUCAUUUUAGGUAAUAUAUUUUAAUAAGGGACAGGCAACAUGAAGAACUACUGUACUGUAUGUGAAUGAUGAAUGUACCAAAUUUGCAGGGGGCACAGAUUCUGCGUGGGCACGAACAUAGAAGUUAGAAAACAUUACUUAGUUUGAUGUUUUGUUAUUUGCUGCAUUGGCAUAAAUUGUAAGUGUGGCUUAAAUGUCCAAAUACUUUUUUGGGACACUGUAUAAUAGUCUUUGCCAGAGGCAUUUUCUCCAAAGAGACAGCACCAUAUCUGGAUGAGAAAAUAAUGGGCACUGCAAAAAUAAAACAAAAUGAAUAUUACAAAACAUGAGAUGAAAUAGUGUAUACAGCAACUGUGCAACACCGACACAAGUUUCACAGGGAGACAAUCUCUCCUUAACAGCAAGAUACAGGUAAAAAGUCAUGUGAGAGGAGGCAGUGUCUCAGUCGCACUUUGACUGGACUUUUACCCUGUCAUCGUGCCUAUUAUGUUCUCCUCAUCACUGAUUGGCUCAUUACCAUGCUAACCAGUGCUUCUCCCAUUGCAAUGCAUCCAACAACAAUAUUUUGCUAUAACCUGAGAAUUGCACUUUCUAAAAUCAAACCAUUAACGCAUAAUUAAAGAUAGUUGAUGAGUACUCAAAAUUCAAGAGUGACCUGCCCGACAUCUCAUUUCAUUUCGAUGCUGCAGAUGUUCUGCAACUAAAUGACUUCAAAAACAUGAUUAGCAAAUGUGAUUUGUAGUCAUGUUGUAAGCAACUCUCUCAUCUCUUCAUUUUCUUCAAACAAAGUAAUGGAGAAGAACUCCCCAUUUACAUUUAUUGGAAUCCCAUUUGCUUUCCAUCUGCUAACUAGCCACCUGUGAAACUAGUUUUUAACAAUCACUGGGGCUCAGGGCCAUCACAUCGUCCCAUAGCCUUUAUUAGUGUUUAUUUUCAGCUAUAAAACUACUGAGGGGGGCUACAAAGAACCCUUGCAUUGUAAAACAAUGUGAUAGAGCACCUUUGAUGUUGGGAAACUAGGUGUGCUGAAAUGAAAAUCUGAAAUAAAUUCCCUCUCUAAUUAAAAAAAAGGCA